GGAGAUGUAGCUCAGCUGGUCAGAGCAUCGGACUCAUAAUCCGGGGGCCACGGGUUCGAAUCCCGUCUUCUCCACCA
rnacentral:tRNA from 1 species